rnacentral:tRNA from 1 species
GGACGAGUGGCGAAAUUGGUAUACGCGCAGCGUUAAGGGCGCUGUGGGGUAAAACCCGUGGAGGUUCGAGUCCUCUCUCGUCCACCA